rnacentral:rRNA from 1 species
UGAGGAAUAUUGGUCAAUGGACGCAAGUCUGAACCAGCCAUGCCGCGUGCAGGAUGACGGUCCUAUGGAUUGUAAACUGCUUUUGUACGAGAAGAAACACUCCUUCGUGAAGGAGCUUGACGGUAUCGUAAGAAUAAGGAUCGGCUAACUCCGUG